CUCCGCCUGAUCCGAUCCGCUACCCAACCCAACCAAUCAGCUCAACCCGAUCAACAACGCGCCUCCACCGCCGAUCUACCCGUCCGCUCCCGCCCCGCCGGAGCUCGAUCGCGCGGCGGCCGGCCGCUACGUGCUCGUCGGUGCUUGGCGUGCCCUCGGCGCGGGGUCGCGGCUGCCACGGCGAAGCCUGGAAGAAGAAGAAGAAGAAGAAGAAAGCAUCGGCAUCUUCCCCUCUC
rnacentral:lncRNA from 1 species